AUGUUUCCCUGGAAAAAAAGGCAAAUUCUGAACACACAAGGAAUGAGAGCUGUCCUUUUGUUCACUGGGAGCCAGAAUCAGCAGCUAUUUCUUACAGUAAAUACUGAUGGAGGGAAGAAAAAAGGUGAUGGUUUGAAUGUAGUUGGAAGAAGGAAAUUAUGUGAGAUCCUGGCCAAAAUUUCCUGUCUGCUCCAAGUCAGCUGCUCUACAGUCAGUGCAGCCUUCAGCCUGGAAAACACGAUUCAUUUGUGUCUCAUGUUCACUGCCACUAGGAAGGAAGGAACCACCAUGGAGCAGUUGAUGCACUCUGGACACUGUGGAAAGCAUCGAUGUUUUGAUUACUAA
rnacentral:lncRNA from 1 species